GCUACAGGCUUAACACAUGCAAGUCGAGGGGCAGCAUGGUCUUAGCUUGCUAAGGCCGAUGGCGACCGGCGCACGGGUGAGUAACACGUAUCCAACCUGCCGUCUACUCUUGGACAGCCUUCUGAAAGGAAGAUUAAUACAAGAUGGCAUCAUGAGUCCGCAUGUUCACAUGAUUAAAGGUAUUCCGGUAGACGAUGGGGAUGCGUUCCAUUAGAUAGUAGGCGGGGUAACGGCCCACCUAGUCUUCGAUGGAUAGGGGUUCUGAGAGGAAGGUCCCCCACAUUGGAACUGAGACACGGUCCAAACUCCUACGGGAGGCAGCAGUGAGGAAUAUUGGUCAAUGGGCGAGAGCCUGAACCAGCCAAGUAGCGUGAAGGAUGACUGCCCUAUGGGUUGUAAACUUCUUUUAUAAAGGAAUAAAGUCGGGUAUGGAUACCCGUUUGCAUGUACUUUAUGAAUAAGGAUCGGCUAACUCCGUGCCAGCAGCCGCGGUAAUACGGAGGAUCCGAGCGUUAUCCGGAUUUAUUGGGUUUAAAGGGAGCGUAGAUGGAUGUUUAAGUCAGUUGUGAAAGUUUGCGGCUCAACCGUAAAAUUGCAGUUGAUACUGGAUAUCCUGAGUGCAGUUGAGGCAGGCGGAAUUUGUGGUGUAGCGGUGAAAUGCUUAGAUAUCACGAAGAACUCCGAUUGCGAAGGCAGCCUGCUAAGCUGCAACUGACAUUGAGGCUCGAAAGUGUGGGUAUCAAACAGGAUUAGAUACCCUGGUAGUCCACACGGUAAACGAUGAAUACUCGCUGUUUGCGAUAUACAGCAAGCGGCCAAGCGAAAGCGUUAAGUAUUCCACCUGGGGAGUACGCCGGCAACGGUGAAACUCAAAGGAAUUGACGGGGGCCCGCACAAGCGGAGGAACAUGUGGUUUAAUUCGAUGAUACGCGAGGAACCUUACCCGGGCUUAAAUUGCAGAUGAAUUACGGUGAAAGCCGUAAGCCGCAAGGCAUCUGUGAAGGUGCUGCAUGGUUGUCGUCAGCUCGUGCCGUGAGGUGUCGGCCUAAGUGCCAUAACGAGCGCAACCCUUGUUGUCAGUUACUAACAGGUUCCGCUGAGGACUCUGACAAGACUGCCAUCGUAAGAUGUGAGGAAGGUGGGGAUGACGUCAAAUCAGCACGGCCCUUACGUCCGGGGCUACACACGUGUUACAAUGGGGGGUACAGAGGGCCGCUACCACGCGAGUGGAUGCCAAUCCCCAAAACCUCUCUCAGUUCGGACUGGAGUCUGCAACCCGACUCCACGAAGCUGGAUUCGCUAGUAAUCGCGCAUCAGCCACGGCGCGGUGAAUACGUUCCCGGGCCUUGUACACACCGCCCGUCAAGCCAUGGGAGCCGGGGGUACCUGAAGUGCGUAACCGCGAGGAGCGCCCUAGGGUAAAACUGGUGACUGGGGCUAAGUCAUAAC
rnacentral:rRNA from 1 species